UACGUAGGGUGCAAGCGUUAAUCGGAAUUACUGGGCGUAAAGCGAGCGCAGGCGGUUUGUUAAGCCAGAUGUGAAAUCCCCGGGCUCAACCUGGGAACUGCAUUUGUGACUGCAUGGCUAGAGUACGGUAGAGGGGGAUGGAAUUCCGCGUGUAGCAGUGAAAUGCGUAGAUAUGCGGAGGAACACCGAUGGCGAAGGCAAUCCCCUGGACCUGUACUGACGCUCAUGCACGAAAGCGUGGGGAGCAAACAGG
rnacentral:rRNA from 1 species